rnacentral:lncRNA from 1 species
UCCCACAGGGAGAGGUCAGCCUCUCGGGCAAGGCCACGGGACCCCGUGGCUGCAAAGGUCUUGGGUAUCAGCGCUUGGAUGUCAAGUCUUCCUGAUCAGAAACAUGCCUCCCGGGGCCUGAAGAAGGGGUCGAGUGUCUGCAGCACAAGGGAGCUGCCUGAUACAGUGAUGCAGACACAGAUGAGAUUUCAACUCCAGUCUGUCAGGCCCGAUUCCAAAGCGAAAGGUAUUAACGUCACACCCUGUCAAUUACAUCCAAAUUCUGCUGACACCCGGAGCUUUGAGGAGUGGAAGAUCACUAAUGAUGUGGGAGCUGUUCCCUUCCCUACAAGCAAGGAGAACGGCUGCCCCAUGCUGUGCCACCUUCAAAAAACACACCAUCUGAACUUUUGGUCACCGGAUGAAAGAUUAAUAAGGAGGUUCUGCUGUCCUUGGGGGUGACAAUUACCCUUUAGACACCGACUCCGGUUAUCUUCCUCAUUAGAGAUUAUUAACCUCCUCUUCCCACGCCUAUUGUUAGGACCCAGGAAGGGGCUGCUUUGUAGAUCCUGUUCUGCGUCAAUAAUUACCCAUCGUGGGAGAGGAGCACCUGUAAUGGAAAUCUUCUUAAUUUCCAGCAUUUGCCAAGCGCUUUAUAUUUGCAAACUCCCCAAAACCUCUAUUCACCGAGUUCAUUAGAUUCGCUUUUCUGGGUGAAUCCAAAAGCCACUUUGAUGAUAUAAUCAUUAUACUUUGCAUUAGUGCUUUUCUCCGGGAUAUCAGAACAAUUUCUAGCUAUUUAUCCAAUCCACCUCGCUUGUGAGACCAGAGGCCGGGCGUCAUGGCAGAAAGAAAAAAGCCUGGAUUUUUAUUGUCUCUGCCUCACCAAAACUGGAACUUCUGGAGAGGUUACGGUUUCUACCGCUGUGUAACGACCAGAGCUUUCCCACCCUGCACACAUUUGUCAUCUGUAGGUCGGAAGUCUGGACACGGCUUAGCUGGGCCCUCUGCUUUGGGUGUCCCCAGGCUGCAAUCCAGCCGGGGUCAGGGCUGCGGGCUCAUCAGAGGCUCAGCCGGGGAAAGGUCUGCAUCAGCCUCCUUCCGGUUGUUGGCGGAGGUCAUCUCUUUGUAUCUCAAGGACUGAGAUGACCAUUUCCUUGCCGGCUGUCAGCCAGGGGCCACUUGCAGCUCCCAAAGGCCACCGAUGCUUCUUUGCUUACAAGCCUUCUCACAACAUACUAGCUUACUCCUCCGAAGCAGAAAACCCCUCUCUCUUUGUUUUUUUCUGCAGCCUGCGGAGACAGAAUUUUAUAUAGUGAAAUAGAACCAUGGGCGCGACAUCCCAUCACCUUUGCCACAUUCUAUUGUUCAGAAGCAAGGCACCGGUCCUGCUCGCCCUCGAGGGGAGGGGAUGGCACGAAGGUGUGGACACCUGGAGGCGGGCUAUCCCUGGGGAUCGCCUUAGGGUCUGUCCGUCCCAUUAAGCAGAGAACCCAAGGUCACAGUAAUUGGUAAUUCAGAGCUCUGGCCAGUGUGUCCAGAACCUUCAACGUCUCUGUGCUCAUGUCCCAGGGUGGUGCCUUUCUGCCUCAGUGCCCACGUGUGUGCACACGCUCGUCUCUCCUCGUGCACCCACGCCACCUGGCACACGGCGCCACCCCCGGCAUUGCCCAUGACCCACGGCCUCCCGUCUUCCAUCAGAAGAGGUGUAUCAGUACAGGCGAGGCUGGAGUUGGGGGUCCGGCUCGGGGGGGCGGGUGGGGUGCAAGCGUGACACUUCACACUAAGCAACAGACAUUGAGUCAAUGAGUCGCACACUUGGAAGAGAACUUGGCACCCUGCGAGAGCUGAAUCCAGGCUUUCUAUUUCUGCCAUCCCUGAAAAGGAACUUGUAAGUCAAAGUUAGACCAACCUGGCUUCAAACACACAAGAGGCAUAUACACCAAAAGACUGUGAAUGUGGGGGUGACUUUUCUUAAAUAGAAAUAGAUUCAUAAAGCAAAGCCUCACUCCUUUAUUUAUUUAUUUAUGUGUCUUUGUUUCUUUUGUAUUUUCGUGUCAGGGCACUGGGCCGAAUGCUUUCCUAGAUUAAGACAUUUCGUCCUCACGGUGACUCUUCUAGAGACUGAGUUUUAUUUGCCACAGUUUCCAAAGCAGGACUGCAGGUGACCCAAGAGGUUAAGGGACUUGCUAAGGCCAUACAGGCUGCAGGUGGCCACCCGUGACCCCCAAAUCCAUAUUUUGAAACAUUCAAGCACCCUGCCUCUUCCUUUCUUCACCCACAAUUUUUCAGAUUUUGCCUGUACCUGUCACACUGGAUCCUACGUUUGAUCGUCCAGCUUCUUCCCCAGCCUUGUUGCAUGACUGGGGGACACCAGCCAUACCCUCAGAGAGUAUUAGGAUCCAGACUCUGUCUCGGAUUCUGUCACACACACGCGUGCACACACACACACACACACACACAUGCUCAUACUUUCAGACACAGCCUCUCUUAGAGGAAACAGACCAGGGGCGCCUGGGUGGCUCAGUCAGUUAAGCUUCUGACUUCGGCUCAGGUCAUGAUCUCACGGUCCGUGGGUUCGAGCCCCACGUCGGGCUCUGUGCUGACGGCUCGGAGCCUGGAGCCUGCUUCCGAUUCUGUGUCUCCCUCUGUCUGCCUCCCCCCUGCUCACAUUCUGCCUCUCAAAAAUAAAUAGAAAACGUUAAAAAAAAAAAAAAAGGAA